GAUGAAGAACGCAGUGAAAUGCGAUAAGUAGUGUGAAUUGCAGAAUUCAGUGAAUCAUCGAAUCUUUGAACGCACAUUGCGCCCCUUGGUAUCCCGAGGGGCAUGCCUGUUCGAGCGUCAUUUCACCACUCAAGCCUGGCUUGGUGUUGGGCGACGUCCCCUUUAGGGACGCGCCUCGAAACGCUCGGCGGCGUGGCACCGGCUUUAAGCGUAGCAGAAUCUUUCGAUUUGGAAGUCGGGGCCCCGCCUGCCGGAAUACCUACUCGUAAGGUUGACCUCGGAUCAGGCAGGGAUACCCGCUGAACUUAAGCAUAUCAAUAAGCGGAGGA
rnacentral:misc_RNA from 1 species